UGUGUGUUAGUGGAAGCGUCUGGAAAGGCGCGCGAUACAGGGUGACAGCCCCGUACACAAAAAUGCACAUGCUGUGAGCUCGAUGAGUAGGGCGGGACACGUGGUAUCCUGUCUGAAUAUGGGGGGACCAUCCUCCAAGGCUAAAUACUCCUGACUGACCGAUAGUGAACCAGUACCGUGAGGGAAAGGCGAAAAGAACCCCGGCGAGGGGAGUGAAAAAGAACCUGAAACCGUGUACGUACAAGCAGUGGGAGCCUCUUUAUGGGGUGACUGCGUACCUUUUGUAUAAUGGGUCAGCGACUUAUAUUCUGUAGCAAGGUUAACCGAAUAGGGGAGCCGAAGGGAAACCGAGUCUUAACUGGGCGUUAAGUUGCAGGGUAUAGACCCGAAACCCGGUGAUCUAGCCAUGGGCAGGUUGAAGGUUGGGUAACACUAACUGGAGGACCGAACCGACUAAUGUUGAAAAAUUAGCGGAUGACUUGUGGCUGGGGGUGAAAGGCCAAUCAAACCGGGAGAUAGCUGGUUCUCCCCGAAAGCU
rnacentral:rRNA from 1 species